AAGAGACAGCAGCAGCCGCGGUAAUACGGAGGGAGCUAGCGUUGUUCGGAAUUACUGGGCGUAAAGCGCGCGUAGGCGGUUACCCAAGUCAGAGGUGAAAGCCCGGGGCUCAACCCCGGAACUGCCUUUGAAACUAGGUGACUAGAAUCUUGGAGAGGUCAGUGGAAUUCCGAGUGUAGAGGUGAAAUUCGUAGAUAUUCGGAAGAACACCAGUGGCGAAGGCGACUGACUGGACAAGUAUUGACGCUGAGGUGCGAAAGCGUGGGGAGCAAACAGGAUUAGAUACCCGCGUAGUCCCUGUCUCUUAUAC
rnacentral:rRNA from 1 species